rnacentral:rRNA from 1 species
CAGCGCCGCGGGAAUACGUAGGGUGCAAGCGUUAAUCGGAAUUACUGGGCGUAAAGCGUGCGCAGGCGGUUAUAUAAGACAGAUGUGAAAUCCCCGGGCUCAACCUGGGAACUGCAUUUGUGACUGUAUAGCUAGAGUACGGCAGAGGGGGAUGGAAUUCCGCGUGUAGCAGUGAAAUGCGUAGAUAUGCGGAGGAACACCGAUGGCGAAGGCAAUCCCCUGGGCCUGUACUGACGCUCAUGCACGAAAGCGUGGGGAGCAAACAGGAUUAGAGACCCGCGUAGUCCCUGUCUCUUAUACA